UUUCACUCUYCUGUAAMAGGRAGAGACUUCCUCUUAUGCACCUUGUGARAAAUCAUAAGUUUUUGGGUUCUGGGGGAAGUAUGGYCSCAAGGCUGAAACUUAAAGGAAUUGACGGAGGGGCACCACCAGGAGUGGASCGUGCGGCUUAAUUUGACUCAACACGGGAAAACUUACCAGGUCCAGACAUUU
rnacentral:rRNA from 1 species